AGACGGGCUGGAGACCACCACAGCUGUGACCUCCACAGACACACUGGCUAACGGGGACUGGAGCUAGCAGCUCCACUCCUACCUGGAGUUCAGGCCCCAGAGAGGUGGUCUGGGAUACCUCAGGCCUGGAUGCUAAACGGUUUAAAAUGGCAUUAGGGGUGUGUUCCCUUUUCAUUGGUGUAGCCAUGGCUAUUAGAGGAGGAGUUUACUAUUGGUGGAAGAACAGGUCAGGCUUUAGGCAUGUGAAUAGAUAAGGUAAGGCAUUUUUUUAUAUUGUGUUUUACAUAUAUUUUGCAAUAAAUAAACAUGUCUGAU